rnacentral:rRNA from 1 species
UACAGGGGGGGCAAGCGUUGUUCGGAAUUACUGGGCGUAAAGGGUUCGUAGGUGGCCAACUAAGUCAGACGUGAAAUCCCUCGGCUUAACUGGGGAACUGCGUCUGAUACUGGAUGGCUUGAGUGUAGGAGAGGAAUGCGGAAUUCCAGGUGUAGCGGUGAAAUGCGUAGAUAUCUGGAGGAACACCGGUGGCGAAGGCGGCAUUCUGGACUACAACUGACACUGAGGAACGAAAGCCAGGGGAGCAAACGGG